rnacentral:rRNA from 1 species
AUGAAGGAGGAGAAAGAAACAAUAGUAACGUGGUCCCGGGCAUCUAGCAUUCUACCCACAAUGGUUGGCCAUACAAUCGCGAUUCAUAAUGGAAAGGAACAUAUACCUAUUUACAUAACAAAUCCUAUGGUAUGUCGCAAAUUGGGGCGCUGA